CAAUAGCGUAUAUUUAAGUUGCUGCAGUUAAAAAGCUCGUAGUUGGAUUUCGGGUGGGAAUGGCCGGUCCGCCGUUUCGGUGUGCACUUGCUACGCCCACCUUGCUGCCGGGGACGUGCUCUUGAGUUCACGCUCGGGACACGGAGUCGGCGAGGUUACUUUGAGUAAAUUAGAGUGUUCAAAGCAGGCCUACGCUCUGAAUACAUUAGCAUGGAAUAACACGAUAGGACUCUGGCCUAUCUUGUUGGUCUGUAGGACCGGAGUAAUGAGUAAGAGGGACAGUCGGGGGCAUUCGUAUUUCAUUGUCAGAGGUGAAAUUCUUGGAUUUAUGAAAGACGAACUACUGCGAAAGCAUUUGCCAAGGAUGUUUUCAUUAA
rnacentral:rRNA from 1 species